rnacentral:rRNA from 1 species
GACGAACGCUGGCGGCGUGCCUAAUACAUGCAAGUAGAACGCUGAAGAGAGGAGCUUACUCUUCUUGGAUGAGUUGCGAACGGGUGAGUAACGCGUAGGUAACCUGCCUUGUAGCGGGGGAUAACUAUUGGAAACGAUAGCUAAUACCGCAUAACAAUGGAUGACACAUGUCAUUUAUUUGAAAGGGGCAAUUGCUCCACUACAAGAUGGACCUGCGUUGUAUUAGCUAGUAGGUGAGGUAAUGGCUCACCUAGGCGACGAUACAUAGCCGACCUGAGAGGGUGAUCGGCCACACUGGGACUGAGACACGGCCCAGACUCCGACGGGAGGCAGCAGUAGGGAAUCUUCGGCAAUGGGGGCAACCCUGACCGAGCAACGCCGCGUGAGUGAAGAAGGUUUUCGGAUCGUAAAGCUCUGUUGUAAGUCAAGAACGGGUGUGAGAGUGGAAAGUUCACACUGUGACGGUAGCUUACCAGAAAGGGACGGCUAACUACG